rnacentral:misc_RNA from 1 species
UUUUAUGUACAUGCUAAUUAGAAACGAAACACAGAGAAAAAAAAUAUUCUUACAAAAAUUUCUUCGACUCUAACCAUCCAUUUCCUGAUCAAGUCCUGGACUCGAGGAAGAGACAUCAUUAGGAUCAGUUACUGAAGGUUGAUUUGAGUUCUCGUUUCUCCUAUUGAGAGAAAAACUGACCCAAAUUUCUCUUUCAAAUCUCCUUCUUCUCUCUCUCCCUUCUUCAUCAUCAUCACCAUCAUCUCUCUUCUUUCCUAAAUCCACCUCAUCAACAGGCAUCUUAUACCUGCAAACAGGGCAUGACCCAUGUAUCCCCAACCACUUCUCUAUGCAAUUAGGAUGAAACCUAUGCUUACAGGGCAUCUCCUUGGCCAACCCACCAACCUCCCACUCCUCUAAACAGAUCGCACACUCACCAUCCUGAUCUCCAAUUUCUGCAAUCUCCACACUAGGCAUGGCCUCUAUGGAUGCCUUUGAGGCAGGAGGUUGACCAUUCUUGCUAGCUAAGUCUCUAAG